AAAGUCGUAACAAGGUCUCCGUUGGUGAACCAGCGGAGGGAUCAUUACGAAAGGAGUAUUCCGUACUCUACAACCCUUUGUGAACCUACCUUUUAAUAGUUGCUUCGGCGGGAGGCCCCUGGGAGGGGCCCCGGGGCCCGGACCUGAGCCGGGCUCCCGCCGGAGGAGCGCAACCAAAACUCUUGCUGUACCCCAGUGGCACCUCCGAGUCAAACAAAAUAAAAACAAGUUAAAACUUUCAACAACGGAUCUCUUGGUUCUG
rnacentral:misc_RNA from 1 species